rnacentral:rRNA from 1 species
GGUUUCUGCUAAGUCGCAAGACGAUGUAUAGGAGCUGACGCCUGCCCGGUGCUGGAAGGUUAAGGGGAUCUGUUAGAGCAAUAGAAGCAGUGAACUUAAGCCCCAGUAAACGGCGGCCGUAACUAUAACGGUCCUAAGGUAGCGAAAUUCCUUGUCGGGUAAGUUCCGACCCGCACGAAAGGCGUAACGAUUUGGGCACUGUCUCAACAACAGACUCGGUGAAAUUGUAAUUCCGGUGAAGAUGCCGGAUACCUGCGACAGGACGGAAAGACCCCAUGGAGCUUUACUGUAGCUUGACAUUGGGUCUUGGUACUACAUGUACAGGAUAGGUGGGAGGCUUUGAAACCAGGACGCCAGUUUUGGCGGAGCCAUCCUUGGGAUACCACCCUUGUAGUACUGGGACUCUAACCAUAGGCCAUGAAUCUGGUCUUGGGACACUGUCAGGUGGGCAGUUUGACUGGGGCGGUCGCCUCCCAAAAGGUAACGGAGGCGCUCAAAGGUUCUCUCAGUACGGUCGGAAAUCGUACGUAGAGUGUAAAGGCAAAAGAGAGCUUGAUUGCAAGACAUACAGGUCGAGCAAGGAUGAAAAUCGGACUUAGUGAUCCGGUGGUUCUGCGUGGAAGGGCCAUCGCUCAACGGAUAAAAGCUACCCUGGGGAUAACAGGCUUAUCUCCCCCAAGAGUCCACAUCGACGGGGAGGUUUGGCACCUCGAUGUCGGCUCAUCACAUCCUGGGGCUGUAGUAGGUCCCAAGGGUUGGGCUGUUCGCCCAUUAAAGUGGUACGCGAGCUGGGUUCAGAACGUCGUGAGACAGUUCGGUCCCUAUCCGUCGCAGGCGUAGGAAAUUUGAGAAGACCUGUCCUUAGUACGAGAGGACCGGGAUGGACGUACCUCUGGUGUACCAGUUGUUCUGCCAAGGGCAUGGCUGGGUAGCUAUGUA